rnacentral:tRNA from 1 species
UCCUCGAUAGUCUAGUGGUGAGGAUAUCUGCUUGUCAUCACACGAUUCGCAGGGGACCGGGGUUCAAUUCCCCGUCGAGGAG